rnacentral:rRNA from 1 species
GACGAACGCUGGCGGCGUGCUUAACACAUGCAAGUCGAGCGGUAAGGCCCUUCGGGGUACACGAGCGGCGAACGGGUGAGUAACACGUGGGUGACCUGCCCUCCACUCUGGGAUAAGCCCGGGAAACUGGGUCGUAAUACCGGAUAUGACCUCUGGAUGCAUGUCUGGUGGUGGAAAGCCUGGGUUGUAUGACUCUGGCGGUGGGGGAUGGGCCCGCGGUCUAUCAGCUUGNGGUGGGGUGAUGGCCUACCAAGGCGACGACGGAUAGCCGGCCUGAGAGGGUGAUCGGCCACACUGGGACUGAGACACGGCCCAGACUCCUACGGGAGGCAGCAGUGGGGAAUCUUGCGCAAUGGGCGGAAGCCUGACGCAGCAACGCCGCGUGGGGGAUGACGGCC